AAGGAGAGUGAAGACAGCAACGCUCAGGAACCUCCUUUGAGACAAGCUGAAACUAGAGCUUACCAACUUCCUAGACUGACUGGCCGGAUUAACCAGCUGCGCCCUCCGAUCCCAGAUGCCAAGGACACGUGAUACUGGACACAAGAGGCCUGGGUUCUUAUCCUAUCUCUGCCUGGCUGACAUUUUCAAACCCUGAAGGUCAAUCAAGCUUGGUCUCUGCCAGGGCUCAUGCACCCAUCACAGUCUAUGUUCUCUCCAGAAGGGAUUUUAGGAUCAGAGAGGUUCUGGGACUGGCUGAAGAUGGCCAGCAUGCAAGAGACAGAAGUGCCACUCGGUCUCCACGGUUCCUGAGACCACGAUCCUGGCGGCUCCUAUUACAGGCUGUCUACUCAUCCCCUCAGCCCAAGUAGCCACAUAUACCUCCAACCCUAGUUCACCCUAGAGAGCCUGUGCCGUGGACCUGAACUUGGGCUCUAACAAUCCAGCCCAAUUAAUAUACAGGUGUUCAUAGUUA